UACGAAGGGGGCUAGCGUUGCUCGGAAUCACUGGGCAUAAAGGGCGCGUAGGCGGCUCCAAAAGUCAGGGGGUGAAAUCCGGCAGCUUAACUGUCGCAGUGCCUUUGAUACUGUGGAGCUAGAGGGAGGUAGGGGUCUGUGGAACUUCCGGUGGAGCGGUGAAAUGCGUUGAUAUCGGAAGGAACGCCGGUGGCGAAAGCGACGGACUGGAUCUCUUCUGACGCUGAGGCGCGGAAAGCCAGGGGAGCAAACGGG
rnacentral:rRNA from 1 species